rnacentral:rRNA from 1 species
CACGUAGGGGGCAAGCGUUGUCCGGAUUUAUUGAGCGUAAAGAGCUCGUAGGUGGUUCGGUAAGUCAGGUGUGAAACCUCCAGGCUCAACCUGGAGACGCCACUUGAUACUGCUGUGACUGGAGUCCGGUAGGGGAGCGUGGAAUUCCUGGUGUAGCGGUGAAAUGCGCAGAUAUCAGGAGGAACACCAGCGGCGAAGGCGGCGCUCUGGGCCGGUACUGACACUGAGGAGCGAAAGCGUGGGUAGCAAACAGG